rnacentral:rRNA from 1 species
CCUACGGGUGGCAGCAGUGAGGAAUAUUGGUCAAUGGACGCAAGUCUGAACCAGCCAUGCCGCGUGCAGGAAGACGGCUCUAUGAGGUGUAAACUGCUUUUGUACGAGGGUAAAUCCCGAUACGUGUCUCGGGUGGAAAGUAUCGUACGAAUAAGGAUCGGCGAACUCCGUGCAAGCAGCCGCGGUAAUAAGGAGGAGUAAAGCGUUAUCGGGAGUUAAUGGGUUCAAAGGGUGCGUAGGCGGUUCGAUAAGUUAGAGUUGAAACCCCGGGGCGCAACUCCGUCACUGCCUCUGAUACUGUCGGGCUAGAGUUUAGUUGCGGUAGGCGGAAUGUAUGGUGUAGCGGUGAAAUGCAUAGAGAUCAUACAGAACACCGAUUGCGAAGGCAGCUUACCAAACUACGACUGACGUUGAGGCACGAAAGCGUGGGGAGCAAACAGGAUUAGAUACCCCGUAGUC